UUGAGUAUAUAUAUGAUUGAGAUAUAUAUGUGCAUUGAGUUGUGAACUAUGAAUUGUACAAUCACACGAUCAUAAGUCCCUUCAAGGGCGACGAGUUGAUGUUAAGUCCCUUUUAGGGCGACGAGUUGAUGCUAAGUCCCUUUUUGGGCGACGAGUUAAUGAUAAGACCUUUAAAGGGCGACGAGUUAAAAUUAUUUUGAGAACAAUUGAGGAGUCGUGUG
rnacentral:lncRNA from 1 species